GAUGAACGCUAGCGGCAGGCUUAACACAUGCAAGUCGAGGGGUAGGUUACUUCGGUAAUUGAGACCGGCGCACGGGUGCGUAACGCGUAUACAAUCUACCUUUUACAGAGGGAUAGCCCAGAGAAAUUUGGAUUAAUACCUCAUAGUAUUUUUGAAUCGCAUGAUUUGAUUAUUAAAGUUCCAACGGUAAAAGAUGAGUAUGCGUCCCAUUAGCUAGAUGGUAAGGUAACGGCUUACCAUGGCUACGAUGGGUAGGGGUCCUGAGAGGGAGAUCCCCCCACACUGGUACUGAGACACGGACCAGACUCCUACGGGAGGCAGCAGUGAGGAAUAUUGGUCAAUGGGCGCAAGCCUGAACCAGCCAUGCCGCGUGCAGGAAGACGGUCCUAUGGAUUGUAAACUGCUUUUUAUACAGGAAGAAACCCUACCCACGUGUGGGAGCUUGACGGUACUGUAGGAAUAAGGAUCGGCUAACUACCGUGCCAGCA
rnacentral:rRNA from 1 species